rnacentral:rRNA from 1 species
CCUACGGGGGGCGGCAGUAGGGAAUAUUGGUAAUGGGCGAAAGCCUGAACCAGCAACGCCGCGUGAGCGAUGAAGGCCUUCGGGUUGUAAAGCUCUUUUGGAGGGGAUGAGGAAGGACAGUACCCUUCGAAUAAGCCUCGGCUAACUACGUGCCAGCAGCCCCGGUC